AUCACCUGGGAGUCUUGUUAAAAUGCAGAUUCUGAUUCACUGGGUCUGCAGUGGGGUCUGAGAUUCUGCAUUUCUAACUAGUUCCCAAGUGAUGCC
rnacentral:pre_miRNA from 1 species